rnacentral:tRNA from 1 species
GAAUUGAUAGCUCAGCUGGUAGAGCAUUCGGCUUUUAACUGAUCGGUCCUGGGUUCGAAUCCCAGUCAAUUCA